rnacentral:tRNA from 1 species
UCCGCGGUAGCUCAAUGGUAGAGCAGGGCCCUGUUAAGGCCAAGGUUACAGGUUCGAGCCCUGUCCGCGGAGCCA